GACGAACGCUGGCGGCGUGCUUAACACAUGCAAGUCGAACGAAGAGCGAUGGAGGCUUGCUUCUAUCAAUCUUAGUGGCGAACGUGUGAGUAACGCGUAAUCAACCUGCCCUUCAGAGGGUGACAACAGUUGGAAACGACUGCUAAUACCGCAUACGAUCUAAUCUCGGCAUCGAUGAUAGAUGAAAGGUGGCCUCUACAUGUAAGCUAUCACUGAAGGUGGGGAUUGCGUCUGAUUAGCUAGUUGGAGGGGUAACGGCCCACCAAGGCGAUGAUCAGUAGGCGGUCUGGGAGGAUGAACGGCCACAUUGGGACUGAGACACGGCCCAGACUCCUAAGGGAGGCAGCAGUGGGGAAUCUUCCGAAAUGGACGAAAGUCUGAAGGAGCAAAGCCGCGUGAGUGAUGACGGCCUUCGGGUUGUAAAGCUAUGUUAAUCGGGACGAAAGGCCUUCUUGCGAAUAGUGAGAAGGAUUGACGGUACCGGAAGAGAAAGCCACGGCUAACUACGUG
rnacentral:rRNA from 1 species